UAGCUUCAACUUACUUAUUCUUGUAUGAAGUGUUUAAUUAUGAAAAUAUAUGAUUUUAUUAACAUUGAUGUUUAAUGUCCCAUUUGUUGUAUGAUUGCAUCUGUCUGUAUAUAUAGAUGAAGGUUGGUGAUUAUUAUCAACUAGUACUGUAAUGCUGGUUGUGAAAUUAUUCUAAGUUUAUCGAUGAAUUAGUAACCUUUCUAUUCAAAGUAGUUCUAUGUAGUUGUAGUCGGCUUAUUGAUAAGAUCACUUUAAUUCAUCACAAUUAGCUCAACUGUGCCAUAUGCUAAAGAUUGUCUAUUUGGGAAACAUCCAAUCGCUAACUAACGCCGAGAGGGUCGUUUACUUGUUCUUGAUUUAGGGGUUGAUUCACUUUUCAGGUUUGGGAUGGCCAAUGUGUAUGUUUCCAAAUCUGUUCUUUUAUAAUGUGAACAGAAAUUCAUCAAAUAUGUAAGUUAUUUGUAUACAGAUCUAUAAUGUGUUUAUAGAUUAUGCAUUCUGUUAAGUUGAAGUGAAUCACUAGAUUUUGAGUUAGGAAUCUGUAAAUAUCUAAGGGCUGUUGCUAGAGGUGAUGAUUGACUUGGUGCACAUGUAUAUAUCUUUUAUGAAUGGGAUCAAAUCAGUAAGGUAGUGCAGAUUCAUUAUUUCCUCUUGGAGGGUGCACUGAGUGGUUGAUGCAAGAGUCUUUUGGAAAACUAUGCUGAUAAUAGUCGUUUGGAGAGGUUGAGCACUUUAAAUUGUUUUGACAAAUGAAGUUCAUUUUUCUCUCAUCUAUUUUAAUUUGGGUUGUUCGAAGCUGGCAGGGCAAAUGAAUGGAUUGGGACUGAGAAGCUUGGCGAUUCUCAGAAAGCCAAGGCGCAUGCUAAAGAGAAACCAGGCAGUUUUAAAACUGCAGUACGGAAAUUGCGUUCCAAGAUACUAGACAGAAUGAACUUGUUGGAGUUGGGAAUUGGAGUAUUCCUCUUCUGAAGUCUGCACCAACGAAACAGAGUGAGUCUUCAUCAGAGUAGAUCUGUUUCGUUUGUUUGGGUUUGAUAGGAUGACUUUGGAAAGGUUGAAGAUUGAAAAUUUGUAUAUUGAAGAAGAAAUGAUUUCUUUCUAAUGUAUUAGAUAGAUUUUUUUAUUAUUAUUUAUUUAAGUAAGGUUGUAAAUUAUUCACAAAUUUUGAUUUAUCAUUUCUAUUUAUAUUGUGUAAUUACUUUUAUUACAUAUAAUAAUAAUUAUAAUUUUUCCUCUAAA